AGUCGAACGGGGUCGCAAGACCCAGUGGCGGACGGGUGAGUAACGCGUAGGCAAUCUGCCCCUCAGUGGGGGACACCCAGCCGAAAGGUUGGCUAAUACCGCAUACGCUGGUCGGUUGAAAUACCGGUCAGGAAAGGUUUACUGCUGAGGGAUGAGCCUGCGUCCGAUUAGCUAGUUGGUAGGGUAACGGCCUACCAAGGCGACGAUCGGUAGCUGGUCUGAGAGGACGAUCAGCCACACUGGAACUGAGACACGGUCCAGACUCCUACGGGAGGCAGCAGUGGGGAAUUUUCCGCAAUGGGCGCAAGCCUGACGGAGCAACGCCGCGUGGGUGACGAAGGAUUUCGGUCUGUAAAGCCCUUUCAGUCGGGACGAGUCGCAGACGGUACCGACAGAAGAAGCAUCGGCUAACUACGUGCCAGCAGCCGCGGUAAGACGUAGGAUGCGAGCGUUGUCCGGAAUUAUUGGGCGUAAAGCGUACGUAGGCGGUCAUCUAAGUCUGGGGUUAAAGACCAAGGCUCAACCUUGGGAGUGCCCUGGAUACUGGGUGACUGGAGGACGGCAGAGGAAAGUGGAAUUCCCAGUGUAGCGGUGAAAUGCGUAGAUAUUGGGAGGAACACCAGUGGCGAAAGCGACUUUCUGGGCCGUUCCUGACGCUGAGGUACGAAAGCCAGGGGAGCAAACGGGAUUAGAUACCCCG
rnacentral:rRNA from 1 species